CAGAAAGAAAAGAAAAGGUGGCGGUGGCGGCGGUGGCGGCCAUGACCACGGAGGAGGCGAUGGAGGCAAGAAGAAGAUGAUGAUGAUGGCCAUGAUGUGUAUGAAGAUGAAGUUGAUGAUGAUGGUUCCAGCAAUGAUGGGCAUGAUGGGGAUGAUGUCUUUCAAAGGGAUGAUGUUCAGCAUGAUGUCGUUCAUGAUAUCAAAAAUGAUGCUAUUGAUGAAACUUUUGGAGAAGAAAGGAGGGUCUGCAGGGACUAGUGGG